AUUAUCUGCGGGAUCGAUGGGUAUAAAAGGUAGGGUCAUUUCAGUGAACGCCAUCCAAAACAUAUUCAUACAUUCAAAACUUCAAGUUCUUCUCAACCAGCGAAAACUUUGUAAAGAUGUCUCCCCUGAAAAUGAUUGUCGCUCUCUUCGCGUUUUUCGUCGUUGUUGGGGUCGCUGUUUCCGAUGAGGGGCGUCCCGCUUCGUCUGCGUCGGCCUUUGGAGACAAUGGCGUCUUAUGGCAAUGUCAACACCCGUGCCAAAAUCUCCACUGUGAUGACCGGUACAGCCGAUGCGAGUUCAGAAAUGGACAGUGCUGGUGCUUCAACUGAGUUUCUCGGUACCAUUUUGACAUACGCCUCAUCCUGGAGUAAUUAGUACAUUAAUCUGUAUUAACGGAAUUAUUUAUGAUUGGAAAUAUUUAUCUUUAAAAUCAAAAGCAGAUUAUUAAAUUAGAGCUUUGAGCAUCAUAAUAUUUAGAGAUUCCAGCAAAUA